rnacentral:rRNA from 1 species
UACGUAGGUGGCUAGCGUUGUCCGGAUUUACUGGGCGUAAAGAGCGCGCAGGCGGUCGUUCAAGUCGAGUGUGAAAGCCCCCGGCUCAACUGGGGAGGGUCACUCGAUACUGAUCGACUCGAAGGCAGGAGAGGGAAGCGGAAUUCCCGGUGUAGUGGUGAAAUGCGUAGAUAUCGGGAGGAACACCAGUGGCGAAGGCGGUUCUCUGGGCCUUACCUGACGCUGAGGAGCGAAAGCAUGGGGAGCAAACAGG